UCUCAUUCCUAAUCUUCUUCCCCUCGACCUAUACAUACAGGGAGAGAGAGAGAGAGAGAGAACUAGAGAGAGAAGAACUCAUCGGAGUUUCAGCAGAAAGGAAUGAGUCUGAACUUGAUAUCUCCUUGGCUCUCCCGCCCCUCUCCGCCCCUCUCCAAGUCUUCUUCCAAAUUCACCACUCUCUUUUUCCUCCUGCUCAACUCCAACUCCACAGUGCUCCAGCACCGAACCAUCAGAAAAUCCACGUCUCAAUCGAAGGCCAUCAGAGCUUCGUUAAGCGAGAGCGAGAACGACGUAGUCGCGGAGACCUCCUCUUUCGAGCCGUUGUUGGACGAGGACUUGCUCAGUCGAGUUUCUUCGGCGAGAGAUGCGAGCGAAGCGCUGGAAUUGAUCGCGGUGAAGCCGGGUAGAGGCGGUGGUGUUGUGAGCGGUGCGGAUUGUUGUUCGAUUAUUUCUGCUGCGUUUGAUCGGAGCAAUGUCGAUUUGGCGUUGUCGGUUUUCUAUGCAAUGCGUUCCAGCUUUGAUCUUGGGGAAGCUGAUGGUGAAAUGGUUUCGUUUGGUCAGAGAUGGAAGUGGUCGAGGCCAGACGUACACACGUACACAUUAUUAGUUGAAGGUCUUGCAGCAUCACUUAGAGUCUCAGAUGCCCUCAAGAUGAUUGGCGCUGUUAGUCGAAUAGGAGUUUCUCCUGGUGAAGAGGUCCCAUUUGGUAAGAUCGUGAGAUGUCCAGCUUGUAUGAUAGCUGUUUCCGUUGCACAACCCCAACAUGGUAUUCAGAUUGUGUCCUGUUCCAAGUGCCGCUACCAGUAUGAGCUAGUUUCUGGCAAUAUAGUUAGUAUUGAGUCAGAAGAAAUCAGCAUGGAGGUACCUAUGUGGAAAAGGGGGCUAAAAUUCCUACAAAUAAAGAAGCAAAGCAUUCCUGCUGCAGUUCAUUCUAUUGUGGUCUCCUUUGUGCAGGUGGAGACGCCAUCUGGGAUCGCACGCACCCACAAAUUUGCUACUGAAACUGUUGAUCUCCCUGCACAAGAAGGGGAAAGAGUAACCAUUGCUGUAGCAGCCCCAUCAACUGUUUACAGAGAGGUGGGUCCCUUAAAGUUUAGUCCAAAGUCCCCAGAUUUCUACUCAGGAGAACCUUUAUGCCUGACAAACCAUAGAGAUGGCCGAGAAUCGCUGUUACUAAGAGCUCCCGCAAAAAAUGAAGGUGUAUCCUUACUUAACCCCUCUGUCCUCUUUCCACUUUUUGCUGUGCUGGGCACUGGAAAUGCUGCCUCUGGAAUGAUUGAUCCCAGUAUGCCUCAGCUCAUUUCAGUUGCCGUAGUUUCAUCUUUUGCUCUUGGAGUUACUUUGAACACUCUGGUUAUCCCCCAGUUGGGUCGGCUUCCUCAGAGGUUGGUGGAUGUGAUUGCCAUCAGACAGCAACUCCUCUCGCAGUAUUACAAACUUCAAUCUCGCAUCAAGAAUCUGAAAGAGGCUGCUGAAAACGAGGUAUGGAUGUUGGCUCGCAUGUGCCAAUUGGAGAACAAAAUUGUUGCUGUUGGAGAACCUUCUUAUCGUGCGCGGAGAAGUAGAGUCAAAAGGGUGCGUGAAGGUUUGGAAAAUUCCCUCAGGAAACGAAUUGAAUUGAUUGACAGCUAUGCGAGAAUUUCUUCGAUGAUUGAAAUCGAGGUAGAGAUGGACUCUGAUGUGCUUGCUGCUGAAGCAGCUAGCAAUGCAGAAAAUAUUGCUGAACAGAUACAGCAAAUUAUGGAACUUGAAAAUCUUGAAGAGAGAUGGAAAAUCCAAGCUGAGGCAAAUGAUGAGGUUGAAAGACUUCUUAGUUCUGAACCCACAACCAGUGAACAGGUUUUAGACAUAUGACUGCUGAUGGAUCACAACAUGAUGAACAGUACCAGCUCUAAGCAAAUGCAGACUAGACUUUUUCUUUGGGCCUUCAAAUAUUUUUUGAAAAUAGGAGCUCUCAAAUGUAAUACGCCUGCAAAAUGAUACUACUCCCCUAGAGGCAUCCUAGCAGAGGACAUCAAAUCCACAUCCAUCUGGGCUACCAGCUUGUAGCAGUGACCCAGAGUGGAAGGGUCCACACCGAACCAAGGGGGUACUAACAGCUGAGUCCUCUCUGGAACACAGGAAUAGGAUUCUAUAUGAACCAAUGGAUCGGGACAAGUCGUUACUCCCACAAUGACCAGUUAAAAAAGCCCAUCAUACAAAAGUUUCUAAACCCGAUAAAUAAAAUCAAGGGUCCUAAACUGAAAGAAAAAAGAGCUGAAAAGGCCCAGCCGUGAUGCACAAGGGCCCGUUACGCUUUCGGCUCACAAAAAGUCGGGACCAGCUUUGUUGACGAACAAUCAUGAUUAUGCCAGGGGUAGAAAUAUACUCUUCAUGGCUGUGGCCUGUGGGAAGAGGAUGGAAACAAAGUACAGUUGCUUUGUUGUGUCUUCGCGGAAACUGGCCUGCCAGCUCAGCGAGCCUAUUUGUUCUGAAGGCAUCUACUUUUCUUUUGUAAAGCAAUUCCAUAUUUUGGAUCCAAAAUGCAAGCUUUUCACUUAGAGCUGUGUUGUAUAUCAUGUAGAGAUCUUUUUGUAAAGGGCUUUUGUCUCUUUUCAUUUGUUUCUUCCUUUAGGAAUGUUCUCACGAAUACAUUGGCGAAUUGACUUCAGUUACUUUGAUCUAUCUCAAGGUUUACGUAUCGAAUGUAUUGCAGCAUCGGGAUUGUUCAAUCGUU